rnacentral:sRNA from 1 species
GGAUGUGAGGGCGUUCUGGCUGCGACAUCUGUCACCCCAUUGAUCGCCAGGGUUGAUUCGGCUGAUCUGGCUGGCUAGGCAGGUGUCCCCUUCCUCCCUCACUGCUCCAUGUGCGUCCCUCCCGAAGCUGUGCGCUCAGUUGAAGAGGACAAUCUUACCCGACAGAGGGGAGAAAAAAGAAUUCUCGUGUACCCUUUGCCCCAUUUCCCCGGUGGUAAUGUCUUGCAAAACUAUAGUACAGUAUCAUGACCAUGAUAAUGA